UACGAAGGGGGCUAGCGUUGCUCGGAAUCACUGGGCGUAAAGGGUGCGUAGGCGGGUCUUUAAGUCAGGGGUGAAAUCCUGGAGCUCAACUCCAGAACUGCCUUUGAUACUGAGGAUCUUGAGUUCGGGAGAGGUGAGUGGAACUGCGAGUGUAGAGGUGAAAUUCGUAGAUAUCGGGAGGAACACCAGUGGCGAAGGCGGCGAUCUGGGAAGAUACUGACGCUGAGGUGCGAAAGCGUGGGGAGCAAACAGG
rnacentral:rRNA from 1 species